UUUACCGUCCGCAGACUAAAUCU
rnacentral:snRNA from 1 species